CCCCAUGGGGAAAAAAAGGACAAAAUAUGAGCACAUACACCAGGCUCCUGUUCCUCUUAGGCUGUUAGCUUUAUUGGGCUGGUUUGUCGUUUGUCUGCUAGUGAUGUGUGGGACUCUCCUCACUUCACUUCCCUUCGUCCCUCUUCAAGGGUUUCUCUUGUGAUCUCUGCCCAUCUCCCAACAACCUUUCCCUCUCUCAGUACAGCUGCUGAUUUCAAAAUGCUGAGCCCUCUUCUGUAGGAGCCUGUCCCCCUAUCAUAGCUGAUGGAUGGGGUUGGAUGCCUGACCCAAAUUAGCCAAUCAGAGUUUCUCUCCUGAGAAUGUAAAGAGGGACAGAGAUAGGUGGGGACCAAAAGUUAUGGGAGCUGAGCCCUGUGUGGUAGGCAGAAUUUUACAUAGGGCACGUGUAAUAUGAUGAGAAGCUGAGCUUCUCACUCCCACAAUUGCUGUGUUACUUGGCAGGGUUGACCUUAAGAUAAAAGACUCUCAGGUGAGCCUGAUCUAGUCAUCUGGUUCUUUCAAAGCAGCAGGAGUCAGAUUUGAAGCACGAGGGACUUUGCUGGCUUGAAGAUGGAGGGGGUCAUAGGGGAAGAAAGUGCUGUGGCUUCUAGGAGCUGACGGAGUUUCCCAGCUGAGAGCCAUUGAGGAAGUGGACACCUCAAUCUUAUAAUCACAAGGACGUGAUUCAGCCAACAACCUGAAGGAGCUUAGAAGUGGACUUUCCCCUCAAGCUUCCAGAGAAGACCCCAGCAUGGCUGACACCUUGGCUUUGGUCUUGAGCAGAGGACAAAGUUGAGCUGUGCCAGACUUCUGACCUACAGAACUUGUGCUUUUAGAUGGUGUCUCUGGGGAUGUGUUCUUCUGACCCAUUGAGUCAAUGCUUUCAUCAGCCCCAGGGCUCUGCCAGGGAGCACAGUUCCUCUUGCCUGCUCCAGCUCUUACUCAUUUAAUUGAGAGCAACGACAGCAUGUGUUUAGGGAGAGGAGACCUCUUAGUAUUUUUAAAAUGGUUUGACCUUUUUCAAAAUAAAACUUUGGAGGGGAGAAAAAAGAACUGUCAUGAUUUUUAUUCAGGAUAUACAUGCUAGGCUUUUGGGUGCUUUCCUGAAUGGAAUCUUUUGACACUAUGACCAGCUGUAUUGUGAACGGGAUAAUUUUUAAAAAGAUGGAGUUAAAGUAGAGAUGACGUCCCUUACCCAGAGGAAAACGAUGAGUUUCCACUUUGCUGCUAAUGGAAUCGCUAAGCACCCUGUGGCGUGUCGGUGUAUUUGUGAAUGGAGCCUCACUUUGCGCAACGACGGAGUUGCAGGUCCCUGCUGCUGCUGCUACUGCUGCUAAGUCGCUUCAGUCGUGUCCGACUCUGCAACCCCAUAGACAGCAGCCCACCAGGCUCCCCCGUCCCUGGGAUUCUCCAAGCAAGAACACUGGAGUGGGUUGCCAUUUCCUUCUCCAAUGCACGAAAGUGAAAAGUGAAAGUGAAUUUGCUCAGUCGUGUCCGGCUCUUAGCGACCCCAUGGACUGCAGCCCACCAGGCUCCUCUGUCCCUGGGAUUUUCCAGGCAAGAGUACUGGAGUGGGUUGCCAUUGCCUUCUCCUCCAAGGUCCCUAUCUGUGGGCAACACAGCUGGCAACUUGAGCCCCUUACUUAAUGGGUUUCAGGCUCUUUUGUUAGAGGGCUGGCCUGCUGGGUUUUUUAACUUCUUAACUUCCAUGGUCGAGGAGUCUUGUGUUUCUAAUUCUGUUUCUUCUACUGUUCUAGUUAGAUGACUACAACAUAAUCCUAGCACUUUGGUCUUAAAGUGAUGAGAACCAGGACAGGAUUAGCUGGGAAUUUUAAGACAGCAUCUAUGCU
ensembl:lncRNA